rnacentral:Y_RNA from 1 species
GGCCGGUCCAAUGCCAGUAGCUCUUAUAAUUAAUUGAUCACAGUCAGUUACACACUUCUUUGUUCUUUCUCCACUCCCACUGCUGCACUUGACUAGUCUUUC